UGAGAUGGACGAUAAAGGAAUAGGUUGUAAACUUAUUAAUAAGGUUCGUUACCUUUUCUCAA
rnacentral:tRNA from 1 species